AAGGCGCGUGGGUUCGAAACCCGCAGGGGACAACAUUACAUCCGGAGCCAACUUCUCAGCUUCUAAAAUAAUGGGAUGUGAACCUGUCAAGUAGGUACCUUCGGGUGGAUCUACUACUUGAUUUAGCUGAUUUUUCCUGGGCUGGGAACCUGUAUUGCAUGUACCAAAUCCUGUCUUUCAUUAAUUUUCCUAUGUUCCUGUUAUAUUCUUGGUGUCGUUCAACACUAAGCAUUCCUCCUGUAUAACCAACUCUUGCCUGUAUUUAACAUCACACAAGGACUCGUCAUAAGCACUGCUUGCAUACAAGU
rnacentral:sRNA from 1 species